UUAUUAAUUGUUAUGUUUUAUUUUUAUAAAAUAAUUGAAAUGUUUGUUUUGUAUGAAUUAUGAUUUAACUGAUUAUUUGGAAUAAUUGUUUAAUGUUUUUUUUAUUAUUAGUGUUACAUUUUUUAUUUGGUGUGACAAAAUUAUGUGAUUAGAAUAGGUUACAUUUCUUUUAUUAAGUGUGUGUGCGUGUGUGUUGAUGUUUUUUUAAUUUUUAUUCUAAUUAAUUUAAGAAAAUAAAAAGGGGAAGAAAAAUGGGUUGUCAUCUUUUAGGAUAAGAUUACAAGGCUUAUCUCUUGGGUUGUGUUUACAUUGGGAUAGGGUUUAGGUGAGGUGUAAGUAGAGGAAAUUGUGGGAUUUAGGCUUAUUUGGUGGGAUAGGAUUUUAAUUUUCACACUUGGGUUUUUCCUUAGGGUUAGGUCACUAGGAUAUUUUAAAUAGAAGAAAAUGUGAGCCUUGGAGAACCAUUUUGGUGGCUGCCAAAAAUAUUGAGACAAGGUGGGAGAGGAGAGCAUGAAAAAGAGAAAGAAAAAGAGAGAAAGAAAGAGAGAAAGAAGGAGAAUAGGAAAGGGGUUUCAAGAAUCUCUAGCUUUUGAGGAAGUGGUCCUGUGCUGUUUUGGUUUUGUGCUUGGACUUAAGGUAAACACUAGAUAGACUUGUUUGGCACACAUAAUGAGCUAAGUCAGUUUUCCAUAAGUAUGUAUGUAUGUUGCAGGGGAGCCAAUGAACGAUAAAAUGAUCUAGAAUGCCAUAGUGCCUUAGAGUCUUUUCUUAUGAUAAUUUAUCAGUGGGAUAUGUUUAUUUAGUUUUAAGACUACAUCAAAUUCUCUUUUAUUUUGAACAUUGGAUUCAAGCUCUACAUCUA